rnacentral:rRNA from 1 species
GUGCCAGCCGCCGCGGUAAUACGUAGGUGGCAAGCGUUGUCCGGAUUUAUUGGGCGUAAAGCGAGCGCAGGCGGUUUCUUAAGUCUGAUGUGAAAGCCCCCGGCUCAACCGGGGAGGGUCAUUGGAAACUGGGAGACUUGAGUGCAGAAGAGGAGAGUGGAAUUCCAUGUGUAGCGGUGAAAUGCGUAGAUAUAUGGAGGAACACCAGUGGCGAAGGCGGCUCUCUGGUCUGUAACUGACGCUGAGGCUCGAAAGCGUGGGGAGCGAACAGGAUUAGAUACCCUGGUAGUCCACGCCGUAAACGAUGAGUGCUAAGUGUUGGAGGGUUUCCGCCCUUCAGUGCUGCAGCAAACGCAUUAAGCACUCCGCCUGGGGAGUACGACCGCAAGGUUGAAACUCAAAGGAAUUGACGGGGGCCCGCACAAGCGGUGGAGCAUGUGGUUUAAUUCGAAGCAACGCGAAGAACCUUACCAGGUCUUGACAUCCUUUGACCACUCUAGAGAUAGAGCUUCCCCUUCGGGGGCAAAGUGACAGGUGGUGCAUGGUUGUCGUCAGCUCGUGUCGUGAGAUGUUGGGUUAAGUCCCGCAACGAGCGCAACCCUUAUUGUUAGUUGCCAUCAUUUAGUUGGGCACUCUAGCGAGACUGCCGGUGACAAACCGGAGGAAGGUGGGGAUGACGUCAAAUCAUCAUGGCCCCUUAUGACCUGGGCUA